rnacentral:rRNA from 1 species
AACUUAAGCAUAUCAAUAAGCGGAGGAAAAGAAACUAACAAGGAUUCCCCUAGUAACUGCGAGUGAAGCGGGAAAAGCUCAAAUUUAAAAUCUGGCGGUCUUUGGCCGUCCGAGUUGUAGUCUGGAGAAGUGCUUUCCGCGCUGGACCGUGUAUAAGUCUCUUGGAACAGAGCGUCAUAGAGGGUGAGAAUCCCGUCUUUGACACGGACUACCAGUGCUUUGUGAUGCGCUCUCAAAGAGUCGAGUUGUUUGGGAAUGCAGCUCAAAAUGGGUGGUAAAUUCCAUCUAAAGCUAAAUAUUGGCGAGAGACCGAUAGCGAACAAGUACCGUGAGGGAAAGAUGAAAAGCACUUUGGAAAGAGAGUUAAACAGUACGUGAAAUUGCUGAAAGGGAAACGCUUGAAGUCAGUCGCGUCUGCCGGAACUCAGCCUUGCUUUCGCUUGGUGCACUUUCCGGUUGACGGGCCAGCAUCGAUUUUGACCGACGGAAAAGGGCUAGGGAAAUGUGGCACCCUCGGGUGUGUUAUAGUCUCUGGUCGCAUACGCCGGUUGGGAUCGAGGAUCGCAGCGCGCCGCAAGGCAGGGGUUCGCCCACUUUCGCGCUUAGGAUGCUGGCAUAAUGGCUUUAAACGACCCGUCUUGAAACACGGACCAAGGAGUCUAACAUGCCUGCGAGUGUUUGGGUGGAAAACCCGAGCGCGUAAUGAAAGUGAAAGUUGAGACCUCUGUCGUGGAGGGCAUCGACGCCCGGACCUGACGUUCUCUGACGGAUCCGCGGUAGAGCAUGUAUGUUGGGACCCGAAAGAUGGUGAACUAUGCCUGAAUAGGGUGAAGCCAGAGGAAACUCUGGUGGAGGCUCGUAGCGAUUCUGACGUGCAAAUCGAUCGUCAAAUUUGGGUAUAGGGGCGAAAGACUAAUCGAACCAUCUAGUAGCUGGUUCCUGCCGA